rnacentral:rRNA from 1 species
AUUGAACGCUGGCGGCAGGCCUAACACAUGCAAGUCGAGCGAGCGGCGGACGGGUGAGUAAUGUCUGGGAAACUGCCUGACGGAGGGGGAUAACUACUGGAAACGGUAGCUAAUACCGCAUACCAUCAGAUGUGCCCAGAUGGGAUUGGCUAGUAGGUGGGGUAACGGCUCACCUAGGCGACGAUGCCUCGCUGGGCUGAGAGGAUUGCCAGCCACACUGGAGCUGAGAGGCGGUCCAGACGCCUACGGGAGGCAACGGUGGGGAAUGUUGCACACUGGGCGCAAGCCGGGUACGGCCAAGCCACGGAUGUGAAGAGGGCCUUGGGGUUGUAAGGCUCUUUCAGCGGGGAAGCGGUACCCGCAGAAGAAGCACCGGCUAACUCCGUGCCAGCAGCCGCGGUAAUAC